GGGGCUGUAGUUCAAUGGCAGAACAUCUGCUUCCCAAGCAGAUAGCGCGGGUUCGAUUCCCGUCAGCCCCUCAA
rnacentral:tRNA from 1 species